GACGAACGCUGGCGGCGUGCUUAACACAUGCAAGUCGAACGGCAAGGCCCUGCUUUUGUGGGGUGCUCGAGUGGCGAACGGGUGAGUAACACGUGAGUAACCUGCCCUUGACUUUGGGAUAACUUCAGGAAACUGGGGCUAAUACCGGAUAGGAGCUCCUGUUGCAUGGUGGGGGUUGGAAAGUCUCGGCGGUUGGGGAUGGAUUCGCGGCUUAUCAGCUUGUUGGUGGGGUAGUGGCUUACCAAGGCUUUGACUGGUAGCCGGCCUGAGAGGGUGACCGGCCACAAUGGGACUGAGAUACGGCCCAGACUGCUACGGGAGGCAGCAGUGGGGAAUAUUGCACAGUGGGCGGAAGCCUGAUGCAGCAACGCCGCGUGCGGGAUGACGGCCUUCGGGUUGUAAACCGCAUUCGCCUGUGACGAAGCGUGAGUGACGGUAAUGGGUAAAGAAGCACCGGCUAACUACGUG
rnacentral:rRNA from 1 species